CCCGGCUCCCCACCUGCAGGGGAGUCGCUUCACAAGCAAUGAAGCUGGUCUGCAGGUGUCUUUCUCUCCUCCCUCUGUCUUCCCCUCCUCUCUCCAUCCCUGUCUUAUCCAACAACAACAUCAAUAAUAACUACAAAAAUAAAACAACAAGGGCAACAAAAGGGAAUAAAUAAAUAAAUAUUUUUUAAAAAUAAAAAUAAACAAAAAAAACAGGGAAGCUUCCAAUGGAGGGGAUGGGACACGGAACUCUAGCGGUGGAAACUGUAUGGAAUUGAACCUGUUAUCUUACAAUCUUGUUGACCAUUAUUAAAUUACAAAAAGAAAGAAAAAAAAGAAA